UCGAGAAUUUUUCUCAAUGGGGGAAACCCUGAAGGAGCGACGCCGCGUGGGGGAUGAAGGGCUUCGGCCCGUAAACCCCUGUCAUUUGCGAACAAAUGUCAUGGUUGAACAUUCCAUGGCUUGAUUGUAGCGAAAGAGGAAGGGACGGCUAACUCUGUGCCAGCAGCCGCGGUAAUACAGAGGUCCCAAGCGUUGUUCGGAUUCACUGGGCGUAAAGGGUGCGCAGGUGGGUUUGCAAGUUCGAUGUGAAAGCCCCGGGCUUAACCCGGGAAUGGCAUUGGAUACUGCAGAUCUGGAGGAUCGGAGGGGGGACUGGAAUUCUUGGUGUAGCAGUGAAAUGCGUAGAUAUCAAGAGGAACACCAGUGGCGAAGGCGAGUCCCUGGACGAUACCUGACACUGAGGCACGAAAGCUAGGGGAGCAAA
rnacentral:rRNA from 1 species